rnacentral:rRNA from 1 species
GACGAACGCUGGCGGCGUGCCUAAUACAUGCAAGUUGAGCGAUGAAGAUUGGUGCUUGCACCAAUUUGAAGAGCAGCGAACGGGUGAGUAACGCGUGGGGAAUCUGCCUUUGAGCGGGGGACAACAUUUGGAAACGAAUGCUAAUACCGCAUAACACCUUUAAACAUAAGUUUUAAGUUUGAAAGAUGCAAUUGCAUCACUCAAAGAUGAUCCCGCGUUGUAUUAGCUAGUUGGUGAGGUAAAGGCUCACCAAGGCGAUGAUACAUAGCCGACCUGAGAGGGUGAUCGGCCACAUUGGGACUGAGACACGGCCCAAACUCCUACGGGAGGCAGCAGUAGGGAAUCUUCGGCAAUGGACGAAAGUCUGAACGAGCAACGACGCGUGAGUGAAGAAGGUUUUCGGAUCGUAAAACUCUGUUGGUAGAGAAGAACGUUGGUGAGAGUGGAAAGCUCAUCAAGUGACGGUAACUACCCAGAAAGGGACGGCUAACUACGUG